UACAGAGGUCCCAAGCGUUGUUCGGAUUCACUGGGCGUAAAGGGUGCGUAGGCGGUCGGGUAAGUCUGAUGUGAAAGCUCGGAGCUUAACUCCGAAAUGGCAUUGGAUACUAUUCGGCUUGAGGAAUGGAGGGGAGACUGGAAUGCUCGGUGUAGCAGUGAAAUGCGUAGAUAUCGAGCGGAACACCAGUGGCGAAGGCGAGUCUCUGGACAUUUCCUGACGCUGAGGCACGAAAGCCAGGGGAGCAAACGGG
rnacentral:rRNA from 1 species